rnacentral:misc_RNA from 1 species
ACUGUUAUCUUGUUUCCACCACCAGUCCCUUCCAGAUGCACUCUUCAUCACUCUUUCACUCAUUUUCCCUCCAUUAGUCAAAUCUUUCCCACUCUCAAUACUAGCACCAUCAAAAUUUCCCUCUGGCGGCACUGCUAACCCACCUGCUUCCGGCGAGGCACUUACACUCUCUACCGUCUCCGGUGAUGUUGCAGAAAUUGAAACAGGUCCCUUAAGAAAGCUCUCCGGGGACUGUUCAACUCCCAAGCUGAACUCCUCGAACCCGGUAGUCAUACUUUCGGUCUCCACCAAAGAUCCAGAAUCCUCAAUCGGGACCCCAUUAUUACUCUCUAAUUCAGCCUUCUUCAACUCCGAUCCACCAUUCAUCUUCCC